rnacentral:lncRNA from 1 species
GCGGCACCUCAGUAAUGAGCCAGAGAAGAAGGAAAGGCAGAUGAAUUUGCCAGCAUUAUUGCAGGUAUCUUGAAGGAGAGUUGAGCCCAGCUUUUCAAUUCAUACAGAUCCUUUCUCUGAAGAACCCCUUCCUGAUAUUGUCACUUUAACACAUCUCUGUGGUUUUAUUUUGAAAUUUUUAAAGGUACAGUCAUGUGCCGCAUAAUGACAUUCAGUCAAUGACAGACUGCAUAUAUGAGGUGGUCCUGUAAGGUGAUAAUGGAGCUGAAAAAUUCCUACUACUGAACGACAUCAUAGCCAUUGUAACAUCAUAGCACAACCAAUCACCUUUUCUAUAUUUAGAUAAGGAGUUCAUAUGCUGGAAUGAUAGUGACACAGGAGUUUAACACUCCUACAGUAUCCAGAGCCUGGAUCCCUGAGUCAUCAGAUGGAGAAGAACUACUCAGGAGAGUCAUCCAACCUUCAUAGACAGUGGCAUGAGUGGGAAUUAAACAUUGAUUAUGUUAA